AUGACUAUUGCAAGGCUUAAGACUCGUCUUAGAGAUACUGGCACAACACAUGAUCGCCCCCGUAGUGGCAGGCCACGUGAAACUACGUUACGUCAAGACAGACACAUCCGCAUCAUUCCUCUCCGGAAUCGAUUUGUAAACGCGUCCCAAACUGCACGACAAACCCACGGAAGACAUAACAACAGAAUAUCUGCUCAAACAGUUCGUAACCGAUUGCGUCAAGUUGGUCUAAGAGCUCGUCGUCCAUUGAAGGGACCUAUCCUUACGUAG
rnacentral:sRNA from 1 species